GACGAACGCUGGCGGCGUGCUUAACACAUGCAAGUCGAACGGAAAGGCCCUGCUUUUGUGGGGUGCUCGAGUGGCGAACGGGUGAGUAACACGUGAGUAACCUGCCCUUGACUUUGGGAUAACUUCAGGAAACUGGGGCUAAUACCGGAUAGGAGCUCCUGCUGCAUGGUGGGGGUUGGAAAGUUUCGGCGGUUGGGGAUGGACUCGCGGCUUAUCAGCUUGUUGGUGGGGUAGUGGCUUACCAAGGCUUUGACGGGUAGCCGGCCUGAGAGGGUGACCGGCCACAUUGGGACUGAGAUGAGGCACAGACUCCUACGGGAGGCAGCAGAGGGGAAUAGUGCACAAUGGGCGGAAGCCUGAUGCAGCAACGCCGCGUGCGGGAUGACGUCCUUCGGGUUGUAAACCGCUUUCGCCUGUGACGAAGCGUGAGUGACGGUAAUGGGUAAAGAAGCACCGGCUAACUACGUG
rnacentral:rRNA from 1 species